rnacentral:rRNA from 1 species
UACGUAAAAGACUAGUGUUAUUCAUCUUUAACAGGUUUAAAGGGUCCGUAGACGGUAAAAAUUCCAUCUUAAAUAGGAUAUGUUUUUUUACUAGAGUUUUAUAUGAGGAGGCGAGUAUUCAUGGAGUAGAGUUGAAAUUCUUUGAUCCCAUGACGACUGGUAAGGGCGAAAGCAACCUUUUUAUCUAAUAACUGACGUUGAGGGACGAAGGCUUGGGUCGCGAACAGG